rnacentral:rRNA from 1 species
GAUGAACGCUGGCGGCGUGCCUAAUACAUGCAAGUCGAGCGAACAGACGAGGAGCUUGCUCCUCUGACGUUAGCGGCGGACGGGUGAGUAACACGUGGAUAACCUACCUAUAAGACUGGGAUAACUUCGGGAAACCGGAGCUAAUACCGGAUAAUAUAUUGAACCGCAUGGUGCAAUAGUGAAAUACGGUUUUGCUGUCACGUAUAGAUGGAUCCGCGCCGCAUUCGCUGGUUGGGAAGGUAACGGGUUUCCAAGGGAACGAUGCGUUACCGAACGGCGGGGCGGAUCGGCCACACGGGAGCUGAGCCACGGACCAGACUCCUGCGGGAGGCACCAGUAGGGAAUCUUCCGCAAUGGGCGAAAGCCUGACGGAGCAACGCCGCGUGAGUGAUGAAGGUCUUCGGAUCGUAAAACUCUGUUAUUAGGGAAAAACAACUGUGUACGUAACUAUGCACGUCUUGACGGUACCUAAUCAGAAAGCCCCGGCUAACUACGUG